rnacentral:rRNA from 1 species
AGCCGAAGAAGGACGCGGUAAGCUGCGAAAAGCCACGGGGAACUGCAAGCAAGUAUUGAUCCGUGGAUAUCCGAAUGGGGAAACCCGGCCAUCGUCAUGGAUGGUCACCCGCAAGGGAGGGAACCUGGGGAACUGAAACAUCUAAGUACCCGGAGGAAGAGAAAUCAAACGAGAUGCCCACAGUAGCGGCGAGCGAAGAGGGCAGAGCCCAAACCGAGAAGCUCCGGCUUUUCGGGGUUGAGGACCGGCAGAAUCGAAGUCAGGCCUAGUUGAAUUACCUGGAAAGGUAAGCGAGAGAGGGUAAAAGCCCCGUAGACGAAAGGCAGAGCAGAGAGGCCGAGAUCCAGAGUACCACGAAGCACGAGGAAUUUUGUGGGAAGCAGGGGGGACCACCCUCCAAGGCUAAAAACUACUUGGCGACCGAUAGCGCAUAGUACCGUGAGGGAAAGGUGAAAAGAACCCCGGGAGGGGAGUGAAAUAGUACCUGAAACCGUAUGUCUACAAGCAGUCGAAGCGAAAGCGACGGCGUGCCUAUUGAAGAAUGAACCAACGAGUUAUCUGCACUAGCGAGGUUAAGUGGAAGACACGGAGCCGCAGCGAAAGCGAGUCUUAAGAGGGCGCUAGUUAGUGUAGGUAGACCCGAAACCGCAGUGAUCUACCCAUGUCCAGGUUGAAGCGCAGGUAAAAUUGCGUGGAGGACCGAACCGGUGAGCGUUGAAAAGCUUUCGGAUGAGAUGUGGGUAGGGGUGAAAUUCCAAUCGAACGCGGAGAUAGCUGGUUCUCCCCGAAAUAGCUUUAGGGCUAGCCUGAGGUAGUAAGUAUAGGCGGUAGAGCACUGAUCGGGCUAGGGGCCGUAAAGGUUACCGAACCCUGUCAAACUCCGAAUGGAUAUACUGUAGAGCCUUGGAGUCAGACUACGAGUGAUAAGAUCCGUGGUCAAAAGGGAAACAGCCCAGACCACCAGCUAAGGUCCCCAAUGUCGUACUAAGUGGAAAAGGAUGUGGGGUUUCAUAAACAACCAGGAUGUUGGCUCAGAAGCAGCCACCAUUUAAAGAGUGCGUAAUAGCUCACUGGUCGAGAGACCCUGCGCCGAAGAUUCCCGGGGCUAAAGUACGAAACCGAAGCUGUGGCUGUAUACGUAAAGUAUACGGGGUAGGGGAGCGUUCCCAUAGGGUAGAAGUCGAACUGGAAGGUUCGGUGGACUUGUGGGAAGUGAGAAUGUUGGUAUGAGUAGCGAAAAGAAAGGUGAGAAUCCUUUCCACCGAAAGCAUAAGGAUUCCUGAGCAACGAUCGUCGUCUCAGGGUAAGUCGGGACCUAAUCCGAGGCAGAGAGCGUAGGAGAUGGACAACUGGUUGAUAUUCCAGUACCGGUAGUAAUUGUUUGAGCAAUGGAGUGACACAGAAGGGCAGGCAAGCAUGCGAAUGGAAGAGCAUGUGUAAGCGUGUAGGGUGGUGCAUAGGCAAAUCCGUGCACUGAAAGCCUGAGGCGUGAUGCGGAGUGAGCAGAGAUGCGAGCGAAGUUGUUGACCCCACACUGUCGAGAAAAGCUUCUAGUGAGAGAGCUACCGCCCGUACCGUAAACCGACACAGGUAUGCGGGGAGAGAAUCCUAAGGUGCGCGGGAGAACCCUCGUUAAGGAACUCGGCAAAAUGUACCCGUAACUUCGGGAUAAGGGUAGCCACUGUUGUGAAGUCCCAUGCGGAUGGAGCAUAGAGUGGUCGCAGAGAAGAGGCCCAAGCGACUGUUUACCAUAAACACAGGUGCCUGCUAAAGCGAAAGCUGACGUAUAGGUGCUGACACCUGCCCAGUGCCGGAAGGUUAAGGAAGGAUGUUCGGAUUAGUCCAAAGCAUUCGACUGAAGCCCCGGUGAACGGCGGCCGUAACUAUAACGGUCCUAAGGUAGCGAAAUUCCUUGUCGGGUAAGUUCCGACCCGCACGAAAGGUGUAACGAUUUGGGCACUGUCUCAACGAGGGACCCGGUGAAAUUGAAAUACCUGUGAAGAUGCAGGUUACCCGCGACUGGACAGAAAGACCCCAUGGAGCUUUACUGUAACCUGACAUUGGGUUUUGAUACAUUACGUACAGGAUAGGUGGGAGGCAUGGAAAGCUGGACGCUAGUCUGGCUGGAGCCGACGUUGGGAUACCACCCUUGAUGUAUUGAAAUUCUAACCGCGAGAGUAACGAAAUCCGGGACAGUGUCAGGCGGGCAGUUUGACUGGGGCGGUCGCCUCC